rnacentral:rRNA from 1 species
AACCCUUGUCCUUAGUUGCCUACCAUUUCGAGUUGGGCAACUCUAAGGAGACUGCCGGUGUUAAACCGGAGGAAGGUGGGGAUGACGUCAAGUCCUCAUGGCCCUUAUAUCCAGGGCUACACACGUGCUACAAUGGACCGGUACAAAGGGUCGCAAUACUGCGAGGUGGAGCUAAUCCCAAAAAGCCGGUCUCAGUUCGGAUUGGAGUCUGCAACUCGACUCCAUGAAGUCGGAAUCGCUAGUAAUCGCGUAUCAGCGUGACGCGGUGAAUACGUUCCCGGGCCUU